GGUUGCGGCAUCGCGGUCCUGAUUGGAGCGGGUUGCAUUGCCAUGGGGAUUGUUACCUUGCUCAUUAGCGAUUGGUUAUUGUGGACCCUGCCUCAGGAGAUCAGCCACUCUGCAACAAGGACAAGACCGUCAUUAUCACGGUUAAUGGUGAGAUAUAUAACCACAAGCAGUUGAGAGAAACAUUAAAGGGUCAUCAAUUCUGAACUGGCAGUGGCUGUGAAGUGAUAGCGCAUCUUGAUCAAUUUGGUUUGCUUCAGAAAUGAAAGCUAUAAGUGAUGAUUGUGAAAGAUUGAUAUCUUUUCCUCCUGGGCAUUUAUACUCUAGC